GAUGAACGCUGGCGGCGUGCCUAAUACAUGCAAGUCGAACGAACAGACGAGGAGGUUGCUCCGCUGACGUUAGCAGCGGACUGAUGAGUAACACGUGGAUAACCUACCUAUAAGACUGGGAUAACUUCGGGAAACCGGAGCUGAUACCGGAGAAUAUAUUGAACCGUGUGUUUCAAUCGUGAAAGCCGGUUUUGAUGUCACUUAUAGAUGGAUCUGAACCGCAGUAGCUAGUUGUUAAGGUAACGGUUUACCAAGGCGACGAGGCAUAGCCGAACCGAGAGGGUGAUCAGUAACAGGGGAGAGGAGACACGCGCCAGACUCCUAAGGGAGGCACCGGUAGGGAAUCUUCGGCAGAGGGCGAAAGCGUGACUGAGCAAAGCGGCGCGAGUCAGGAAGGUCUUCGGAGCGUAAAGCUCGGCUAUUAGGGAAGAACAAAUGUGUAAGUAACUAUGCACGUAUUGACGGUACCUAAGCAGAAAGCCACGGCUAACUACGUG
rnacentral:rRNA from 1 species